UCUGGACAGAGUCUCCCAGGAUGACGACAAACUUGUUGUGGAGCAGCUGCUGCACUUCCAAGGACCGCAGGAUUCAGCGAAGAUCAAAUGAAAUGAUGGAAGUGAAAGAUUUUGAAUAAAACAAAAUUACUGUUUAUUGAAUGGCUACUGGAUGAAGGGUAUGGAAAAGGACAUGUGAAACAUUAAAGGAGGAGCUGGCAGCUGGAACCGGUGUAUGUACAAGAAGUGCCAAAGCCUGUAGGAAA